GAUGAACGCUGGCGGCAUGCCUAUACAUGCAAGUCGAACGGACGAGAAGAGAAAAGCUUGCUUUUUUGGAAGUCAGUGGCGAACGGGUGAGUAACACGUAGGUAACCUGCCCAUGUGCCCGGGAUAAUUUCUGGAAACGGAAACUAAAACCGGAUAGGUAGGGAUCUCGCAUGAGGACCUUAUUAAAGGGGCUACGGCCCUGAACAUGGAUGGACCUGCGGUGCAUUAGCUAGUUGGUGGGAUAACGGCCUACCAAGGCGACGAUGCAUAGCCGACCUGAGAGGGCGAACGGCCACAUUGGGACUGAGACACGGCCCAA
rnacentral:rRNA from 1 species